rnacentral:lncRNA from 1 species
UGCAUUGGUAACAGUAGUUGGGUGUAUUAGUCUUUCAACAUUUUUGGUUUUCAUACAGCACGCUUGCUGUCAAUGUAGCAUUAUUAAAAUAAAAAUUCGUCAACCAUUUGAAAGGAAUCAGCAAGAUGGGCAAAAUACUAAAUACUUCAAUACACUAACGGAAGAAUACAAUUGGAUAAGCGACAUUGUAAAUCGUCAUAGAAUAUCUUUUGAAUUCUUCAAUUUUCGGUAUUAUUAAAAACUCUAGAAGACAAAAUAGAAUGCAUCCUUUAUGUAACUGGUACAGCAUUUACUGUGUAUAUCAAUUUUUAUCUUGGACAAAGGUUGCUGAAUCAUAGCGAUGCUGUUCGUGAAGAAUUGUGUGACGUUCCGUUUUAUACAUUAUCUAUACAUACACAAAAAUUGCUACUACUUAUAAUAGCUAGAAGUGGAAAACCGUGCUUUCUAUCAAUCGGAAAUAUGUUUGUCUCAUCCCACCAAGUAUUUGCUGGGCUUAUGCGAAAAGCACUUUCUUUUGCAAUGGUAUAUAAGAGUGUACCAUAAUUCAAGGCUUUCGAAAAAAC